AUUGAACGCUGGCGGCAGGCCUAACACAUGCAAGUCGAGCGGAUGAAGAGAGCUUGCUCUCUGAUUUAGCGGCGGACGGGUGAGUAAUGCCUAGGAAUCUGCCUGGUAGUGGGGGAUAACGUCCGGAAACGGGCGCUAAUACCGCAUACGUCCUACGGGAGAAAGCAGGGGACCUUCGGGCCUUGCGCUAUCAGAUGAGCCUAGGUCGGAUUAGCUAGUUGGUGAGGUAAUGGCUCACCAAGGCUACGAUCCGUAACUGGUCUGAGAGGAUGAUCAGUCAUACUGGAACUGAGACACGGUCCAGACUCCUACGGGAGGCAGCAGUGGGGAAUAUUGGACAAUGGGCGAAAGCCUGAUCCAGCCAUGCCGCGUGUGUGAAGAAGGUCUUCGGAUUGUAAAGCACUUUAAGUUGGGAGGAAGGGCAGUAAGUUAAUACCUUGCUGUUUUGACGUUACCGACAGAAUAAGCACCAGCUAACUUCGUGCCAGCCGCCGCCGUAAUAC
rnacentral:rRNA from 1 species